rnacentral:rRNA from 1 species
GUCCCGCCUGCCCUGUGACAUAUAGUUUAACGGCCGCGGUAUUUUGACCGUGCGAAGGUAGCGCAAUCACUUGUCUUUUAAAUGGAGACCUGUAUGAAUGGCACAACGAGGGCUUAACUGUCUCCUCUUUCAAGUCAAUGAAAUUGAUCUUCCCGUGCAGAAGCGGGAAUUAAUACAUAAGACGAGAAGACCCUAUGGAGCUUUAGACACUAAAGCAGACCAUGUUAAACACCCCCAGACAAAGGGUUAAACCAAAUGAGUACUGCCCUAAUGUCUUUGGUUGGGGCGACCGCGGGGAAACAAAAAACCCCCCACGUGGAAUGGGAACACCUACUCCUACAAACAUGGGCUGCAGCCCUAGUUAACAGAACUUCUGACCCUUAAGAUCCGGCAAUGCCGAUCAACGAACCGAGUUACCCUAGGGAUAACAGCGCAAUCCCCUUUUAGAGCCCAUAUCGACAAGGGGGUUUACGACCUCGAUGUUGGAUCAGGACAUCCUAAUGGUGCAGCCGCUAUUAAGGGUUCGUUUGUUCAACG